GGUUGGGUGGCUGAGGUAUAGGCGAUAGAUUGUAAAUUUAUAUAGGAAUGUGCGUUCCCCAAUCA
rnacentral:tRNA from 1 species